GAACGGGUGCUAACUGCCCGCAAGGGUGGUUAGCGCUAGUGGCGGACGGGUGAGUAACACGUGGGCAACCUGCCUGAGAGUGCAGAAUAACCCUGCGAAAGCAGAGCUAAUACUGCAUGUGGUUGUCGGAUGGCAUCAUCUGACAACUAAAGUCGCAAGACGCUCUCAGAUGGGCCCGCGGCCUAUUAGCUAGUUGGUGAGGUAACGGCCCACCAAGGCAAUGAUGGGUAGCUGGUCUGAGAGGACGGACAGCCACACUGGGACUGAGACACGGCCCAGACUCCUACGGGAGGCAGCAGUGAGGAAUUUUCCGCAAUGGGCGAAAGCCUGACGGAGCAACGCCGCGUGAGGGAUGAAGUCUCUAGGGAUGUAAACCUCUGUUGGGAGGGACGAAGGUCUGACGGUACCUCCUGAGGAAGCCCCGGCUAACUACGUG
rnacentral:rRNA from 1 species